rnacentral:rRNA from 1 species
CUACGGGUGGCUGCAGUUAAGAAUCUUGCACAAUGGGCGCAAGCCUGAUGCAGCGACGCCGCGUGAAUGAUGAAGGCUUUAGGGUUGUAAAGUUCGGUAAGCAGGGAAGAAUAAGCGAGAGGUAAUAUUUCUUGUGAUGACGGUACCUGCCUAAAGCCCCGGCUAACUACGUGCCAGCAGCCGCGGUAAUACGUAUGGGGCGAGCGUUGUUCGGAAUUAUUGGGCGUAAAGGGCGUCUAGGCGGGGAUUUAAGUUAGGUGUGAAAGCUAUGGGCUCAACCCAUAAACUGCAUCUAAAACUGGAUCUCUUGAGUUCGGGAGAGGAGAGCGGAAUUCCAGGUGUAGCGGUGAAAUGCGUAGAUAUCUGGAAGAACACCAGUGGCGAAGGCGGCUCUCUGGCCUAGAACUGACGCUGAAGCGCGAAAGCGUGGGGAGCGAACAGGAUUAGAUACCCCCGUAGUC